rnacentral:rRNA from 1 species
AGUGAACGCUGGCGGUAGGCCUAACACAUGCAAGUCGAACGGCAGCACAGUAAGAGCUUGCUCUUACGGGUGGCGAGUGGCGGACGGGUGAGGAAUACAUCGGAAUCUACUUUUUCGUGGGGGAUAACGUAGGGAAACUUACGCUAAUACCGCAUACGACCUACGGGUGAAAGCAGGGGAUCUUCGGACCUUGCGCGAUUGAAUGAGCCGAUGUCGGAUUAGCUAGUUGGCGGGGUAAAGGCCCACCAAGGCGACGAUCCGUAGCUGGUCUGAGAGGAUGAUCAGCCACACUGGAACUGAGACACGGUCCAGACUCCUACGGGAGGCAGCAGUGGCGAAUAUUGGACAAUGGGCACAAGCCUGAUCCAGCCAUACCGCGUGGGUGAAGAAGGCCUUCGGGUUGUAAAGCCCUUUUGUUGGGAAAGAAAAGCAGCAGGUUAAUACCCCGCCGUUCUGACGGUACCCAAAGAAUAAGCACCGGCUAACUUCGUG